UGAGACCUCUGGGUGGCCGCGGCUACACUUUCUCUACUCAUCAGGAAAGGAUAGCUGAGGAACUUCCGGGCUCCAUAGAGCACGAUGGCGGAUAACGUCCGCCCAGGGUAACCUGAGAGAUAGCGCAGCAGAAAGUAAACCGCCUUCCUUUCCCCUCAUAGAGAAAUGUAUGAACGGAUAGGAAUGGUAAGGGUGAAACGGCGGUGUAAGAGACCACCGGGCUGCUGGUAACAGUAUGCCGCAUGGCAAGCCUCAUCGGGAGCAAGGCCAAGUAGGAAUGCACUGAAGCUGCUCGCUUAAGCAUUCGGGUAGGCUGCUAGAGCGUCAUAGUAAUAUGGCGUCGAGAUGGAUGGUCACCUCCCCACUCUUUCGAGAGGGGAACAGAACCCGGGGUACAUGAGGUCUCACAUU
rnacentral:RNase_P_RNA from 1 species